AUUGAACGCUGGCGGCAGGCUUAACACAUGCAAGUCGAACGGUAACAUAAAGAAGCUUGCUUCUUUGAUGACGAGUGGCGGACGGGUGAGUAAUGCUUGGGAAUCUAGCUUAUGGAGGGGGAUAACUACGGGAAACUGUAGCUAAUACCGCGUAGAAUCGAGAGAUGAAAGUGUGGGACCUUCGGGCCACAUGCCAUAGGAUGAGCCCAAGUGGGAUUAGGUAGUUGGUGAGGUAAAGGCUCACCAAGCCGACGAUCUCUAGCUGGUCUGAGAGGAUGACCAGCCACACUGGGACUGAGACACGGCCCAGACUCCUACGGGAGGCAGCAGUGGGGAAUAUUGCGCAAUGGGGGCAACCCUGACGCAGCCAUGCCGCGUGAAUGAAGAAGGCCUUCGGGUUGUAAAGUUCUUUCGGUAGCGAGGAAGGCAUUUAGUUUAAUAGACUAGGUGAUUGACGUUAACUACAGAAGAAGUACCGGCUAACUCCGUGCCAGCAGCCGCGGUAAUACGGAGGGUGCGAGCGUUAAUCGGAAUAACUGGGCGUAAAGGGCACGCAGGCGGUGACUUAAGUGAGGUGUGAAAGCCCCGGGCUUAACCUGGGAAUUGCAUUUCAUACUGGGUCGCUAGAGUACUUUAGGGAGGGGUAGAAUUCCACGUGUAGCGGUGAAAUGCGUAGAGAUGUGGAGGAAUACCGAAGGCGAAGGCAGGUCUCUGGGCUGUAACUGACGCUGAGAAGCGAAAGCAUGGGGAGCGAACAGG
rnacentral:rRNA from 1 species